CAGCCGCCACGGUAAUACGAAGGGGGCUAGCGUUGUUCGGAAUUACUGGGCGUAAAGCGCACGUAGGCGGAUAUUUAAGUCAGGGGUGAAAUCCCAGAGCUCAACUCUGGAACUGCCUUUGAUACUGGGUAUCUUGAGUAUGGAAGAGGUGAGUGGAAUUCCGAGUGUAGAGGUGAAAUUCGUAGAUAUUCGGAGGAACACCAGUGGCGAAGGCGGCUCACUGGUCCAUUACUGACGCUGAGGUGCGAAAGCGUGGGGAGCAAACAGGAUUAGAUACCCGUGUAGUCCCUGUCUCUUAUAC
rnacentral:rRNA from 1 species